GAGAGAUGCACUCCUCAACAUUGCCUGUUGCUGAAGAUUCAGAACUAGCAGCAACACCAAAACAAAAAGAUCAAGCUGGGGUGACAUUGUAACGAGAACUUCUCAGCUGGAGUUAAUUGAUUUGAACAAUUCAAGUCCACCAGGCAAAUCAGCCCAGGACAGCUUACCACGCUGGCCGAGUUAAUUUUUUUUUCACAUAGUUUUUGAACGGCUGCGAUGUUAAGAGGAGACCAAAGGCUGUGAGAUGGAGAAAAUAGAAUUCACUGAAUGUCAAGGGACUUGCCCAGGGACACACAGUGUGUAAGUGAAAGAUUGGGAUGUGAAUCCGUGUCCUGAUUUCAGGCUAAGAGCUCUCAGGUGUCAUUCUUAUAUACCCAGAGACAAAAUAAA
rnacentral:lncRNA from 1 species